UAUGUUUCUUUGUAAUCAUAUUUGUCUAUUCUGGAUCUUGAUCCGCAGGUUUUAUGUUAAUUUGUUUUUUUUUGUUUUUUCUGUAAAUAUGUAAAAUUUUCUGACCCGUCCUUUUAAAACACGGAUAUAUUUUCGGACCAUGACCCAUUGAUAUAUGUUGUGUUCAAGUUAAAUAGAUCAAGUUUCAUAACUAUACACUCGUGUCAUAUGUAUUUCGAAAAUUAUUUUAAAAAUUUAUUCAUAAAGUUUACAACAUAUUAUAUUUUUAUUAGGUUUUAUAUUAUUAUACCAGUUAUAGUUGCCCACAUUUUAUUACUAAACUUAAGCAGGUGUUUCGUAAAAAUAUAUAUAACUAUACACGGAGUAGAUAUCACCACUUUAAUUACAUCUUCGUAUAUAACUGCUUGUUGUGUUAAGG
rnacentral:lncRNA from 1 species